UACGAAGGGGCUAGCGUUGUUCGGAAUUACUGGGCGUAAAGAGUGUGUAGGCGGUGCUCUAAGUUCGGUGUGAAAUCUCUCGCUUAACUGGGAGGGUGCGCCGGAAACUGGAGUGCUCGAACGUGGGAGAGGAAAGCGGAAUUCCUGGUGUAGCGGUGAAAUGCGUAGAUAUCAGGAGGAACACCCUGCGGUGUAGACGGCUUUUCUGG
rnacentral:rRNA from 1 species